GGGUCGUUCAAUAAACAAAACCAGACUGCUUGUGUUUGGACAACAUUCGCAAGCGAUGCCUGAGCGUUCGUCGAAACGCGUUAUCAUCAACGCGUUACGGCGUCGCUCUAAAUAAUGGUGAUAUUCGAACGCAGAGCCGACGACUAUUCGAACGCCACGAAUCGAGCUGUGCGCGCGUAUCCGUCGAGUCCCGGAGCUCUUUGCACGUUCUGAUGAACGUGCCGAGCGGACCGACGAAUCUCGCGCUCUCUCUCGUUUCGACAACGUUGUUCGGCUUAACGCACAAAACAACUGAAACGACGACCUCAGAGCAGGCGAGACUACCCGCUGAAUUUAA
rnacentral:rRNA from 2 species